GGCGGCAUGUCGAGUCUGCUGUGAAAUCCCGGAGCUCAACUCCGGGCCUGCAGUGGGUACGGGCAAGCUAGAGUGCGGUAGGGGAGAUUGGAAUUCCUGGUGUAGCGGUGGAAUGCGCAGAUAUCAGGAGGAACACCGAUGGCGAAGGCAGAUCUCUGGGCCGUAACUGACGCUGAGGAGCGAAAGCAUGGGGA
rnacentral:rRNA from 1 species